rnacentral:lncRNA from 1 species
GGUUAAUACAUGCAUGAUACUGAUGUUGUGUGUUACUUUUCUAUUUGCAGCUUGAGUACUUGGAAGAGAGGAGGAUUAAGGACCUUGUGAAGAAGCACUCUGAGUUCAUUAGUUAUCCCAUCUACCUGUGGACGGAGAAGACAACGGAGAAAGAGAUUAGCGAUGAUGAAGAUGAUGAAACCAAGAAGGAAGAGGAGGGAGAUGUUGAGGAUGUUGAUGAGGAGAAGGAGACCAAAUCCAAGAAGAAGAAAAUCAAGGAGGUUUCUCACGAGUGGCAGCUUAUUAACAAGCAGAAGCCCAUCUGGCUGCGCAAGCCGGAGGAGAUCACCAAGGAGGAAUAUGCAUCUUUCUAUAAGAGCUUGACCAACGAUUGGGAAGACCACCUAGCUGUCAAGCAUUUCUCUGUUGAGGGUCAACU